UGCACUAAUAAAAAAGGACCCCGUGCGAAGCACCGUGGAUGCCUUGCCAGAACGAGUUUGUGUGGCCAUACUAACAGCUGAAGCAUUAAGUUCUCAUAUCGGUGGUAGACUGGAACACGAAAGACAGACACUCGUGAUUUGAAGGCUUCCGUUCGCAGUGUAUACAUUACAUUUGCUGCUGGACUCAGGACAAUAAAAAUAAUUUCCUGUUG